rnacentral:sRNA from 1 species
GCAGGGCAUGGUGGUGUGUGCCUGUAAUCCCAACACCUCUGGAGGCUGAGGCAGGAGGAUCACAAGUUCAUAGGCAGCCUCAGUAACUCAGCGAGGCCCUAAGCAACUUAGUAAGACCCUGUCUCAA